GGAAGUGUGCCCGAGACCCAAGGACUACUUUGAUAGAGUACCACACAGAGACAAUUGCCUCUCACUUCCU
rnacentral:tRNA from 1 species